rnacentral:rRNA from 1 species
GAUGAACGCUGGCGGCGUGCCUAAUACAUGCAAGUCGAGCGAACGGACGAGAAGCUUGCUUCUCUGAUGUUAGCGGCGGACGGGUGAGUAACACGUGGAUAACCUACCUAUAAGACUGGGAUAACUUCGGGAAACCGGAGCUAAUACCGGAUAAUAUUUUGAACCGCAUGGUUCAAAAGUGAAAGACGGUCUUGCUGUCACUUAUAGAUGGAUCCGCGCUGCAUUAGCUAGUUGGUAAGGUAACGGCUUACCAAGGCAACGAUGCAUAGCCGACCUGAGAGGGUGAUCGGCCACACUGGAACUGAGACACGGUCCAGACUCCUACGGGAGGCAGCAGUAGGGAAUCUUCCGCAAUGGGCGAAAGCCUGACGGAGCAACGCCGCGUGAGUGAUGAAGGUCUUCGGAUCGUAAAACUCUGUUAUUAGGGAAGAACAUAUGUGUAAGUAACUGUGCACAUCUUGACGGUACCUAAUCAGAAAGCCACGGCUAACUACGUGCCAGCAGCCGCGGUAAUACGUAAGUGGCAAGCGUUAUCCGGGAUUAUUGGGCGUAAAGCGCGCGUAGCGGUUUUUUAAGUCUGAUGUGAAAGCCCACGGCCCAACCGUGGAGGGUCAUUGGAAACUGGAAAACUUGAGUGCAGAAGAGGAAAGUGGAAUUCCAUGUGUAGCGGUGAAAUGCGCAGAGAUAUGGAGGAACACCAGUGGCGAAGGCGACUUUCUGGUCUGUAACUGACGCUGAUGUGCGAAAGCGUGGGGAUCAAACAGGAUUAGAUACCCUGGUAGUCCACGCCGUAAACGAUGAGUGCUAAGUGUUAGGGGGUUUCCGCCCCUUAGUGCUGCAGCUAACGCAUUAAGCACUCCGCCUGGGGAGUACGACCGCAAGGUUGAAACUCAAAGGAAUUGACGGGGACCCGCACAAGCGGUGGAGCAUGUGGUUUAAUUCGAAGCAACGCGAAGAACCUUACCAAAUCUUGACAUCCUUUGACAACUCUAGAGAUAGAGCUUUCCCCUUCGGGGGACAAAGUGACAGGUGGUGCAUGGUUGUCGUCAGCUCGUGUCGUGAGAUGUUGGGUUAAGUCCCGCAACGAGCGCAACCCUUAAGCUUAGUUGCCAUCAUUAAGUUGGGCACUCUAAGUUGACUGCCGGUGACAAACCGGAGGAAGGUGGGGAUGACGUCAAAUCAUCAUGCCCCUUAUGAUUUGGGCUACACACGUGCUACAAUGGACAAUACAAAGGGCAGCGAAACCGCGAGGUCAAGCAAAUCCCAUAAAGUUGUUCUCAGUUCGGAUUGUAGUCUGCAACUCGACUACAUGAAGCUGGAAUCGCUAGUAAUCGUAGAUCAGCAUGCUACGGUGAAUACGUUCCCGGGUCU